GAGAUGCGUUGUGUAAAGAAUGUUUUUUCAGAGCUUUUGAGCUGGACAUUCAUCACACCAUAAUAACUAAUAAUUUAUUUGAAAGUGGAUAAAAGUAGCCAUUGCAGCCAGCGGAGGCAAGGACUCCACCGUCUUAGCUCAUAUUUUAAUACUCUUGAAUCAACGUUAUAAUUAUGGCUUAGAAUUGGUGCUAUUAUCUAUUGAUGAAGGUAUAACCGGUUAUCGAGACGAUAGUGUGGAAACAGUCAAGAAAAAUCAGGAUGAUUACCAAAUGCGUUUAAAGAUCCUUUCCUAUGAAGAAUUAUACGGCUGGACUAUGGAUCUUAUAGUUGCUCAGAUAGGUCGUUGAGUGCACGCCGAGAUCAUAUGAUCUUGAGUGGUCCGUAGGACAUCUUGAGAGAGGAUAUAAAUCAAAAAUCACAAGAUGGAAAUUUAGAGAAAGACCUCAUUACAAAUCAGCUAUUAAAGAAAAAUAUAUAUCUUCCGUGGCGGUGGAAGAUAAGCCGGACCUAGUAGUUAUAAGGACGACGGAAAGAAAGUUCGAAAUUCCUGGUUGUGAAGAGGUGUCCAAGGAUGUAAAUAGUAUAAAGCCACGGGCAAUAUAGCUAUAACAACGUUCGAAAACCGGAAAGCUUUGGCAAUUGAGAGUUUGAAAGCGGCUCACAGUUCUUCGCUCGACUACGAUUGUGUUGGCCGAUGAUUCGAAAAUCUUCAGAGUUGUAUAAAUGCCGGUGCGAAAAACAAAACCCUAAAGGAGAAAUUUUGGCGUAAUCAUUCAUCAUUUCUUUCUAUUCGAUUUAACAUGACUCAGUUGAUGCACGUUCCCCUUGCCGAUGCCGUUAAUGCUUCAUCUAGUGCUCGGGGGAAGGCUCUCUCGCUUCUUCCGAUUCAUUUUCUUCGGAUAAUAUUAACUCGUUUUUUAGACGAUUACGAUGGUUCUGUUUCAUUUUUCUUCUGUCUUGUUAUAUUGUCGCACUAGUUGAUU